rnacentral:rRNA from 1 species
UGGGGAAUUUUGGACAAUGGGCGCAAGCCUGAUCCAGCCAUGCCGCGUGCGGGAAGAAGGCCUUCGGGUUGCAAACCGCUUUUGUCAGGGAAGAAAUCUUCUGAGUUAAUACCUCGGGAGGAUGACGGUACCUGAAGAAUAAGCACCGGCUAACUACGUGCCAGCAGCCGCGGUAAUACGUAGGGUGCAAGCGUUAAUCGGAAUUACUGGGCGUAAAGCGUGCGCAGGCGGUUUUGUAAGACAGAGGUGAAAUCCCCGGGCUCAACCUGGGAACUGCCUUUGUGACUGCAAGGCUUGAGUGCGGCAGAGGGGGAUGGAAUUCCGCGUGUAGCAGUGAAAUGCGUAGAUAUGCGGAGGAACGCCCGAUGGCGAAGGCAAUCCCCCUGGGCCUGCACUGACGCUCAUGCACGAAAGCGUGGGGAGCAAACAGGAUUAGAUAGCCCUGGUAGUCCACGCCCUAAAACGAUGUCAACUGGUUGUUGGGAAGGUUCCUUCUCAGUAACGUAGCUAACGCGUGAAGUUGACCGCCUGGGGAGUACGGCCGCAAGGUUGAAACUC